GACGAACGCUGGCGGCGUGCCUAAUACAUGCAAGUUGAGCGCUGAAGGUUGGUACUUGUACCAACUGGAUGAGCAGCGAACGGGUGAGUAACGCGUGGGGAAUCUGCCUUUGAGCGGGGGACAACAUUUGGAAACGAAUGCUAAUACCGCAUAAAAACUUUAAACACAAGUUUUAAGUUUGAAAGAUGCAAUUGCAUCACUCAAAGAUGAUCCCGCGUUGUAUUAGCUAGUUGGUGAGGUAAAGGCUCACCAAGGCGAGGAUACAUAGCCGACCUGAGAGGGUGAUCGGCCACCUUGGGACUGAGACACGGCCCAAACUCCUACGGGAGGCAGCAGUAGGGAAGCUUCGGCAAUGGCCGAAAGUCUGACCGAGCAACGCCGCGUGAGUGAAGAAGGUUUUCGGAUCGUAAAACUCUGUUGGUAGAGAAGAACGUUGGUGAGAGUGGAAAGCUCAUAAAGUGACGGUAACUACCCAGACAGGGACGGCUAACUACGUG
rnacentral:rRNA from 1 species